UGGGGAAUAUUGGACAAUGGGCGAAAGCCUGAUCCAGCAAUGCCGCGUGAGUGAUGAGGGCCUUAGGGUUGUAAAGCUCUUUUACCAGGGAUGAUAAUGACAGUACCUGGAGAAUAAGCUCCGGCUAACUCCGUGCCAGCAGCCGCGGUAAUACGGAGGGAGCUAGCGUUGUUCGGAAUUACUGGGCGUAAAGCGCGCGUAGGCGGUUAUCCAAGUCAGGGGUGAAAUCCCGGAGCUCAACUCCGGAACUGCCCUUGAAACUAGGUGACUAGAAUAUUGGAGAGGUAAGUGGAAUUCCGAGUGUAGAGGUGAAAUUCGUAGAUAUUCGGAAGAACACCAGUGGCGAAGGCGACUCACUGGACUGGUAUUGACGCUGAGGUGCGAAAGCGUGGGGAGCAAACAGGAUUAGAUACCCCCGUAGUCC
rnacentral:rRNA from 1 species